GACAGAGGGUGCAAACGUUGUUCGGAAUUACUGGGCGUAAAGCGCGUGUAGGCGGCCCUGUAAGUCGGGUGUGAAAUCCCACGGCUCAACCGUGGAAGUGCAUUCGAAACUACAGGGCUAGAGUUCUGGAGAGGAAGGUGGAAUGCUUGGUGUAGAGGUGAAAUUCGUAGAUAUUCGGAAGAACACCAGUGGCGAAGGCGACUCACUGGCCCGAUACUGACGCUGAGGCGCGAAAGCGUGGGGAGCAAACAGG
rnacentral:rRNA from 1 species